GGGGAAUUAGCUCAGCUGGGAGAGCGCAUCGCUGGCAGCGAUGAGGUCAUCGGUUCGAACCCGUUAUUCUCCA
rnacentral:tRNA from 1 species